UCUCCAUGAAGGGGCCAAUUGUGUGGCUGGGACAAAAAAACCCACUGGCCUCCGUUACCUCCUAUCCUCUUUCUGACUUCUCUUUCCUUGCCCUUGAACUUAGAGAGAAAGGGGUCUUUGAAAAUGUCCAUUUUGAAACCACAAUGGUAUGAGAAUCACAGGUCUCUGAUGGCUCAACCCUCCUCCAAAUCCAAAUGCGCAUUUACUCUCCUCCUGCCAGAGUGGAAGUCGUGUGAGCACCUGAAGCCUGCCUGGAAUCUGAGUCUCCACGCCCUGGUCCCAUGACCUGGAAAAACCCCAGGGCCCAGUGCAUCAAUCAUCUGCUCUGUGGAGCCUUCCGCCAGUGAGAACCAGUCCUUUCCCUGAGCUCCCUGUCUGGGUCCAUUUAGGACAUGUGUAUCAUCAUGCCUGCACUCCUAGCCUGAGUGGGCUGAGCACUGAAGGGCAGAGUCCCUGCCAGGCUCCCGUGGUGGUGGCCAGCACAGGGCCUGGCACCUGACAGGUCCUGUGAUUGAAGUCAAUGGAAAACUACAACAACCCAAUCCAAGCAAGGCCGCUAACGGUCCAGACCCUUCAGGAAUGAAGGUUUGAGUCAUCCAACCAGGCAGAGAAUCAUGCCCAACUAGGUGCUUGCUAAAGGCAGAGGGAAUACAGAAGGGGGAGUGGAAGAAGGUAGUUAUAAAUACCAGCUACAACCAUGUGACCAGUUAGAGAAACAAGAACUAAAAUUGUCACGAGUGUUUCCUCCUUAUUUUGCUUUGAACGUGCAUGUGUUAAGCAAAUAUCUUUGGUUUUUUUCCCUCUCUUAUUCUCUUACAGUGUGACAUAAGAGGUAUUGAUUUUAUACUGUCGUAUUUUAAGUAUUGUUAUUUUUAUACCAUAGUACUUAACUUGUGGGAUGUCAAGGAUGGAAUCACUCAAAGACUUUAGCUCCUCUUCUAGGAGGUUGUACAUGGAAUAAUUAGUUGUAUCAUGUUAGGCAGAAUUAUGACCUUGUUACUAUCUUUAUAAGGAGAGAAGUACUAUUUAAGGAGAGGUGUAUGGAGUUGCAAAGUGUAGACUGUGAUAGUUAAUUUUAUGUGUCAACUUGACAGGGCAACGGGGUGCCCACAUAUUUGGUUAAACAUUUUCCUGGGUAUGCAUGUAAGGAUGUUUCUAUAUGACAGUAACAUUUGAAUUAGUAAACUUGUGUAAAACAGAUUGCCUUCCCUAAUUUGGGUGGGCCCCAUCCAAUCAGUUGAAGUUCUAAAUGGAACAAAAAAACCCCUGACCCUCCCAGGAACAGGAGGGAAUUUCCUGUGUCGAGCUGGGUAAUUGAUUUUUCUCCUGCCUGCAGACUCAGACUCAAACGUGGGCACUUCCUGAUGGGUCUUGAGCCUGCUGGCCUUCAGACUGAAACUACACCAUCAGCUCUGCUGGUUCUCCAGACCUUUGGACCCAGGCUGGAACCACAUCGCCAGCCCUCCUGGACUUCCAGCUUGGUGCCUGCAGAUCUUGGGACUUGUCAGCCUCCAUAAUUGUGUGAGCCGAUUCCUCAUAAUAAAUCUCUUCCUAUAUGAAUAUA